UUCCGAAGGUAGCGGCGACCCAAGGCGAAGAAGAGUGCAAUCACAAACCACUAGAGAAGAAAAGAAAAAAAAUGAAUUUCGAAUCCGAUCACGACACGAGUAACUUUCGAAAGCUUCCAAUGGUGGUGCACAGUCCAAACAAGAUCUUACGACUGACUAUCACUAUAUACGGGCAGAAAGCGAGACAGAUUAUGAUACAAAAACAACAUCAUCACCUACCAAAAGCAAUGCAAAAUGUCGCGGAAAUCGAUUCGAGCCCGCAACCAAGCACUUGAAAUUGUGCCCCAGGGGGGUUGAACGAUGGGUAACGGGAAAAUAACAAAAAAUAUAAGAAACGAGCACAAGGCAAAUAAAUGGCACUCUUCUACACAAUACACACCACUGCACACACACACACACACAUACACACACAUACACCUAUAUAUACACAUUAUGGGUUGGAGAUGUCCGCUGCAUGCGUCUCCUCCCAGGCGCGGAGGGUAAGGAUGUAAAGGAAUGGAGCUAGAGAGGCCACCAUGACAAGACAGUCACAGUCAUACGCUGGUAAUCACCCGAAAACCACCCCUAAAACCUCUACUCGGCACAGCCACUUAGGCCUCGGUCGCUGCACGUUCGAUCGAUGCAAAGCUGAACCAAACCACGAAAACGAGUAUACGACGACAAAAACACCCCAAAUCCGUCCCAGCCGAGAGACCCACCA